UAACUGUACUAGGUUUUAAAUUAUAUUGAAUCAAAUUUCUCCCUCCUCUCUCUCUCUCUCUCUUUCUCUCUUACUUCUCUCCCUCUCUGACCUAACUCGCACGAAGCUACCUACGAGCUACUCCACCAACAACUGUGCUCACCUCAAUCCCUGCUCACGAAACUCCCUGCUCCCUGCUCCUUGUUAACGAAAGGAAGGAGAGGAAGAAAGUCGCUCUUCCUCCCAAAUCUAGCUCCCUGCUCCCUGCAAAUACAAAGGUACAUUGAAAUCUUCAUUUCCAGCCACCGCUCUUCACCAUCUACUAAGACGAAGCAUAUUUGCCACCGGAGAGAGCUUACCUUGUUGAUCCAGCCAGGUCGAAGUUCGAUUUUACCAGGGAGAAUACAUUUUUCUAGUCUCUGUGCACGAAGACCCAACAAUAUUGGCAGCAAUGGUCUAGGGCCACAGCUGAAACAAUCUUCUAAACGGCUUCUCAAACACAGAAUUGCUCUGCUAGACGAUCUUCCUAAUUAAAUACACUGUGGCCUAUAGGUAUUGAUUCUUGAUGGAGCUCAAAUGGUUUGCCAUGCUGGUUAGCAGAUUUGAAAAUGAAAAAGAAAUGAUGAGGUGAGGGCCAUUCUGCAACCAUGUGGUCACACUAGGUGCUAGUGGGUUAGUCUCGGCAUGGGCUGAUUGGUAUAGAAACUGGCCUUCAUGAAGUAACCCACUGGUCUUGACAUGAUGAGGUGAGGACCUGAGGCUGAAGGGAAGAAAUCUGAAGCAUCUACCAAAGCAAUUGUUGAUGUUUUAUACUAUUGAUUCCAUGGUAAUUCAGCUUGUAAAACUAUUUGUAAUACCCAUUAAACACACAUCUGAUGGUUACACUUCUGAGGACUGGACUUAAAUUUUGUAUCUAUUCAUCGUCUAUUGCAGGAUCUAGAAACAUAAUGCUUAAGUGUGUUAUUAUUUAUGUGCCUUAA